UACAGAGGGUGCGAGCGUUGUCCGGAAUCACUGGGCGUAAAGGGCGCGUAGGUGGCGCGACAAGUCAGUGGUGAAAGCUCGAUGCUCAACAUCGAGUCGGCCACUGAUACUGUUGGGCUCGAGCACUGUAGAGGCAGAUGGAAUUCCGGGUGUAGCGGUGGAAUGCGUAGAGAUCCGGAAGAACACCGGUGGCGAAGGCGGUCUGCUGGGCAGUUGCUGACACUGAGGCGCGACAGCGUGGGGAGCAAACAGG
rnacentral:rRNA from 1 species